UUUGUGUUUUCAAUCUUGGUGUCUGUCUCCCCUAUUCUUGUUUGCACUGCUGCACUGCUUGGAACUUUACUAAGUUAUGGUCAGCCUAAUAUACCUGUAUUUGAAUGGGAAGAAAACACAACUGAUCAUAUUGUGCCUUUGGAAACACGAGAUGCUAUUCUUGUUGAGAGUGACAAUAGUUACUUCACCGAGAGAUAUAGUGAUCAAGA
rnacentral:misc_RNA from 1 species